rnacentral:rRNA from 1 species
CCUUACCUGGUCUUGACAUCCACAGAACUUACCAGAGAUGGCUUGGUGCCUUCGGGAACUGUGAGACAGGUGCUGCAUGGCUGUCGUCAGCUCGUGUUGUGAAAUGUUGGGUUAAGUCCCGCAACGAGCGCAACCCUUAUCCUUUGUUGCCAGCGGUUCGGCCGGGAACUCAAAGGAGACUGCCAGUGAUAAACUGGAGGAAGGUGGGGAUGACGUCAAGUCAUCAUGGCCCUUACGACCAGGGCUACACACGUGCUACAAUGGCGCAUACAAAGAGAAGCGACCUCGCGAGAGCAAGCGGACCUCAUAAAGUGCGUCGUAGUCCGGAUUGGAGUCUGCAACUCGACUCCAUGAAGUCGGAAUCGCUAGUAAUCGUAGAUCAGAA